UUUAAAGGCAACUAUUGUCUUCAGUGUCAUUCUAUCAAGAUGAAGACAUCCACAUAAAGCAGACACAGGGAGCCACAGACUUUGAUACAUCAAUGAGAGAAAUUCUGCACUAGCUCAUCCACAUUCGACUUUCUA
rnacentral:lncRNA from 11 species